GGAAAAUGAGCAAAUUUUGACCAAAAUAAGUCUUCUUUCCCAAAUCAGAUCAAAUUUGUCGCCGAUCGCAUUCCUCUAUCACUUACGCCAUUAUCGAUCAAUCGGAGCUCCUCGAUCGUCUUCAUCCCUAUUAGGAGCCAGGACCUAUUGAUUGGGAGUACUACAUGAAAGGUUCCAAUCCAAUCAAAUCCAAUCCAAUCAAAUUCAAUCCAGGUGAUAACAAAACUAUCAAGUUUAAGCUUUGUGUUUAAUUUUUUAUACUUACUAUGACAUUGUAAGUUGUUAUUUUCUUUAGUUUUUGUAUUUUUAAAAGUAAAAAGUAGGAUGUUAAAAUAAAUAACACAAUAUGAGGAUAAUCAACGAAAAUAUGAGGAUGUUCAGCAAAAAUAUGCGGAUGCUCAGAAAAAAAAUGUGGAGUUUCAGCAGAAAAAUGUGGAUGUUCAAGCAAAGUUUGAACAACAACUUGCACAAGCAAUGAAUGCCAUUAACACAUUGAGUGAACAUGUCAAAACUUUUAUUAAUCAAUGAUAUAAUGUUGUGUAUCAAAUAAUGUUUUACGUUA